rnacentral:rRNA from 1 species
UACAGAGGUCUCAAGCGUUGUUCGGAUUCAUUGGGCGUAAAGGGUGCGUAGGCGGCGCGGUUAAGUCGGGUGUGAAAUUUCGAGGCUUAACUUCGAAACUGCAUUCGAUACGUGACCUGUGCUAGAGGAACUGGAGAGGAGACUGGAAAUUUACGGUGUAGCGGUGAAAAUGCGUAGAUAUCGAUGAAGGAAGACCAGUGGCGAAGG